CAAACAUAGAAAAGGAUGAAUUGAUCAUGCACCAAGUUAGGAAUAUGACAGUUGUUUUCCAUUCGUUUGAUGUGUUUGUGCUUUUGAUUUUGUCAUUUGAUUAUGGACUUAUCGUUUGAUUGUAUAGCUAGUUAAACCUCUUACUGGUAUAAAAGUCAUAUAUAAUUGAUGUAUUUUGACAAUUACAUUGUUGGAAAACCAGAAUUAUGAAGAUUAAGAGUUUUAAAAAAACCAACAAGAAUCUGGCUGAGACCAACUCUAGUGUUGUGGUAGAAAACUCCCAAGUGUUAUGAAUGAAUUUGGAUAUUUUAUAAAGGUAUAUUAAAAGAGAUUGACUGCACAAAUGAUAUUACAAGCAGUAACAUGAUGAUAGUAACAACUAGAG
rnacentral:lncRNA from 1 species